UACGUAGGGCGCGAGCGUUGUCCGGAAUUAUUGGGCGUAAAGAGCUCGUAGGCGGCCUGUCGCGUCAAUUGUGAAAGCCCGGGACUCAACCCCGGGUCUGCAGUCGAUACGGGCAGGCUAGAGUGCGGUAGGGGAGAUCGGAAUUCCUGGUGUAGCGGUGAAAUGCGCAGAUAUCAGGAGGAACACCGGUGGCGAAGGCAGGUCUCUGGGCCGAUACUGACGCUGAGGAGCGAAAGCGUGGGGAGCGAACAGG
rnacentral:rRNA from 1 species